AGUGAACGCUGGCGGUAGGCCUAACACAUGCAAGUCGAACGGCAGCACAGUAAGAGCUUGCUCUUACGGGUGGCGAGUGGCGGACGGGUGAGGAAUACAUCGGAAUCUACUUUUUCGUGGGGGAUAACGUAGGGAAACUUACGCUAAUACCGCAUACGAUCUACGGGUGAAAGCAGGGGAUCUUCGGACCUUGCGCGAUUGAAUGAGCCGAUGUCGGAUUAGCUAGUUGGCGGGGUAAAGGCCCACCAAGGCGACGAUCCGUAGCUGGUCUGAGAGGAUGAUCAGCCACACUGGAACUGGGACACGGUCCAGACUCCUACGGGAGGCAGCAGUGGGGAAUAUUGGACAAUGGGCGCAAGCCUGAUCCAGCCAUACCGCGUGGGUGAAGAAGGCCUUCGGGUUGUAAAGCCCUUUUGUUGGGAAAGAAAAGCAGCAGGUUAAUACCCCGCUGUUCUGACGGUACCCAAAGAAUAAGCACCGGCUAACUUCGUG
rnacentral:rRNA from 1 species